GUGAUGACACUGAGGAAAUAUUCUACAGUCUUCACCAUGGUUACGAUUGAAUUGUGAUUCCCACAUAGCAAUUGCUGUACAGUGUAAUGCCAGCAUGUAUGUUUUUCUAAGAAAGGGACAUGGUGUGUCAAGGCGGAAGCUGUGCAUUUGGACAGGAUGAGAGUGGUUGUAUUCCAAUGGCUGUAAGCAUGAAAUCACCUGGCCUUGUGCGGAAGACAUCUAUGAAUCGACCAACCAGAUGUAUACCUCUAAUUUAAACUCCUGAAAAUCCCCAUGGUUGCGGGUGGUGCAGACAGAAUGUGAGUCAGGAAGUACCUCUGUAAAAGCCCAGACAUUCCAUAGUAGGAGUAUCUUCAUUCUUCAAGUCUGUACAAGAGAUCUAUGUGAGGAUGAUAGCAAAGAUAAUACAACAAUUCAGCACAUCAUAUCAAUCCAACUGAAGGACAAGAUAUCCAUUGAUGCAGUUGCAUCUUAGCUAAGAAGUUAACUUGGAUCUGCUUCACAGGGAGUCAGUGAUGAUCAUCUAAGUAGUAUGAUACAGUUUUCUGAUCAGAUGAAAUCGCUUUAUCUUAUCUGGCUGGAAUUUAAAGAGCUGAGACUACCAUCAGGAAAAUCUACCAUGUAGUAACACUAACCCAGAACAUUGCUACUGAGUCUACCACACAGUAAUGCUGACUAGAAAAUUGCUAUCGAGUCUACCACACAGUAAUGCUGACUAGGAAAUGGCUAUUGAGUCUACCACACAGUAAUACAAACCCAGAGCAUUGCUACUAUGUCUUCUAUACAGUAACGUUUAUUCAGAACAUUGCUACUGAGUCUACCACACAGUAAUGUGGACAAGGACAUUGCUAUUAUGAGUUUCCAUGCAGUAACACUGACUUGAGUAGUCCACACAGGAAAAACACACAGUAACAUUGACUUAGGAUGUUGCUACAGAGUAUUCCACACUGUAAUACUGACCCCGAAGUGUAGCUUUUCUAUGGAAAAUUCAGACAGAUAACUGAAGCUACCUGUCAGUAGGUGCAAUAAAAUCUUUAUUAUCCAUUUAUGUUAACACUCCUGAUACUGAAGGCUGGACUCUGCUGAACACUGGAAAAAAAGCGGAGAUAAACAUGCAACUCACUGUGUGUGACAUUAGUGCAAAAAAGUUUUAAAUGUGGUCGUGAUGUAUAGACAUUAAAAUUAUUUUAAGUAACAUUCAAGUAAUGGUCAAAGGUGGUAGUGAAAAGUCACUGAAUGUGACAUCAAAGUUUAGAUGACUGAGAAAGAAAGACAGUUAUACCUACUGGUAAAAAUCUAUAAGAUUAGAUAUUAAAAUAAUGUUUAAAAAUGACAGUAGGUACAGUAAAAUGUGAAUGUGGUUUGAUUGGUAAUGUCAAAUAAUAAAGAGUAACUCAUUGUUCAAGUGUAUUUAUAUCAUUUUGUUGAAACAGUUAUCUAAAGAAACAAACUGGACCAACUAUUUUGAUCAUUUUGGAUUGGUUAGUAGUUGCAUCAUUUUCCCACAAGAGACCAAAAAAUGUCUGCAAUCUCCCCGAGUCACAUUCACAUGUAUGCUGGCAUUCAUACUGUACAAUAUGCUCUGUCUACAGAAUGUUUAAGCUUGAAUAAGAAGAGUUAUCCUACUCCCCACAGCUUCAGUGUCACUCUUUAAGUUUUUUAUACCACAUUGAUUCUACCUUAACUGGUUAAAUUCGGAGGUAAAAAAUAGUUUAAAAAACAUGAAUAUUCAAAUGGUUUUUGGGCGUUUUUAGCUCGACUAUUCGAAGAAUAGUCUAGCUAUUCUACUCACCCUGGCGUCGGCGUCGGCGUCACACCUUGGUUAAGUUUUUGCAUGCAAGUACAUACAGCUAUCAUUUAAAGGCAUAUAGCUUUGAAACUUAUUUAUUCUUUUUCUAGGUCAAUUACCAACCUCACUGGGUCAAGUUCCAUAACUCUAACAUGUAUUUUGAGCAAAUUAUGCCCCCUUUUGGACUUAGAAAAUUCUGGUUAAAGUUUUACAUGCAAGUUACUAUCUCCAAAACUAAUGCAGAUAUUGAAUUGAAACUUCACAUGUGUCUUCGGGGUUAUAAAACUAGUUGAUAGCACCAAGUCCCAUAACUCUGACCUUCAUUUUGGCCAAAUUAUGCCCCCUUUUGUACUUAGAAAAUUUUGGUUAAAGUUUUGCGUGCAAGUACAUACAGCUAUUACUAAAAGGCAUAUAGAUUUGAAACUUAUUUUUUCUUUUUCUAGAUCAAUUACCUACCUCACUGGGUCAAGUCCCAUAACUCUGACAUGUAUUUUGGCCAAAUUAUGCCCCCUUUUGGACUUAGAAAAUUCUGGUUAAAGUUUUGCGUGCAAGUACAUACAGCUAUUACUAAAAGGCAUAUUGAUUU